GUCCUUCUCUCACUGCACUGGAUCUCUGAGGGGGGUAGCUUGCUGGAGGAUAGGCGUAAACUGGGGAUAAUACAACAUAAAAAAGGAGUACUGGAAUGUCUCCUAACUGAAAGUUGCGGCGCCAUAGGAUGAAUCUGCGGCCGAUUAGGUAGUUGUUGGGGUAACGGCCCAACAAGCCCGUAAUCGGUACGGGUUGUGGGAGCAAGAGCCCGGAGAUGGAAUCUGAGACACGAUUCCCCCCCUAAACAAAAAAACAAAAGGCGCGAAAACUUUACAAUGCAGGUUCUCUCUCUCUUUAGGGAACCCCGAGGGCGCGCUCCCCCCCGGCUGUCCCGGUGUUUAAACACAUCGGAAGAAAGGGCCGGGGGGGACCGGUUCUCUGCCUUCUUCGUUAAUACCGGCGGCUCGAGUGGUGACCACUUUUAUUGAGCUUAAAGCGUUCGUAGCUUGAUUUUUAAGUCUCUUGGGAAUCUCACGGCUUAACUGUGAGGCGUCUAAGAGAUACUGGGAAUCUAGGACCGGGAGAGUUAGAGGUACUUCAGGGGUAGAAGUGAAUUUCUGUAAUCCUUGGAGGACCACCGAAUGGCGAACGCUCUUACAGACAGCUUCGACAGUGAGACGAAGCUAGGCGUACGACCGGGCUAGAUACCCGGUAGUCCAACCGUACUUAGCCGUAGGUGCCUGUACUACGAGUCGGAGGCGAUGAACCUGGAACGGCCCUGGGAGACAGGCCAAGUUGC
rnacentral:rRNA from 1 species